rnacentral:rRNA from 1 species
AUGGUUAUGGAGGUGUCGAAGUUGCGACACCGAGGAAAUCAUCGAGAUCAUUGUUGGAUGAUGCAAGGUGGAGAUGGCGAAGUUGCGAGCCGUCAUCAAGGUGUACACAUGAGUUCUUGCAAGGUGCGUCCAAGAGCUCAGAUGUGUGAGUCUUCUGCUGCAGUUGAGAUGCGUCACUGGGGGAGGAGAAUUGCGAGCGAGAGCGAGCAGAAAAAGGAAUUUGUGCCUUGCGUUUCCGUUCAUGAUCAUGGAGUUCCGGCGAGUUCAUAUACGGUGAAGAUGAGUUGCACGUAUAUGGCGAGUUGUGUUGCUGCUGGACAUGAGGUGUCGUUUGAUAAGAUGUGGCAUCGGCGACAUUGA